CUUCUGCCUCAGCCUCCCGAGUAGCUGGGACUACAGAGGCAUUUUUUUUUGUAUUUCUAGUAGAGACGGGGUUUCACCAUCUUGGCCAGGCUAGUCUUGAACUCCUGACCUCGUGAUCCACCCGCCUCAGCCUCCCAAAGUGUUGGGAUUACAGGCAUGAACCACCACGCGCGGCCAACAUUACUACUUUUUAAGUACUGAAAGGACAUCUGUGAACACCAGAGGCCUGCACUAGGCAUUCUAAGUUUAAAACACUUACUUCCAAAUCAAAGAAAUCAACCAACCAAUCAAAUUGAAAGAAACUACUUUAAAUUUCAUAUGGAACCAAAAAAAGCCCAUAUAGCCAAGAUGAUCCUAAGCAAAAAGAGCAAAGCUGGAGGCAUCAUGCUACCUGGCUUCAAACUAUACUACAAGGCUACAGUAACAAAAACAGCAUGGCACUGGUACUAAAACAGAUAUAUAGACCAAUGGAACAGAACAGAGGCCUCAGAAAUAACGCCACACAUCUACAACCAUCUGAUCUUUGACAAACCUGACAAAAACAAGCAAUGAGGAAAGGAUUCCCUAUUUAAUAAAUGGCGUUGGGAAAACUGGCUAGCCAUAUGCAGAAAACUGAAACUGGACCCCUUCCUGAUACCUUAAACAAAAAUUAAUUCAAGGUAGAUUAAGGACUUAAACAUAAGACCUAAAACCAUAAAAACCCUAGAAGAAAAGCUAGGCAAUACCAUUCAGGACACAGGCAUGGGCAAAGACUUCAUGACUAAAACACCAAAAGCAAUGGCAACAAAAGCCAAAAUAGACAAAUGGGAUCUAAUUAAACUAAAGAGCUUCUGCACAGCAAAAGAAACUAUCAUCAGAGUGAACAGGCAAUCUACAGAAUGGGAGAAAAUUUUUGCAAUCUAUCCAUCUGACAAAGGGCUAAUAUCCAGAAUCUACAAGGAACUUAAACAAAUGUACAAGAAAAAAACAACCUCAACAAAAAGUGGGCAAAGGAUAUGAACAGACACUUCUCAAAAGAAGACAUUUAUGUGGUCAACAAACAUAUGAAAAAAAAGCUCAUCAUCACUGGUCAUUAUAGAAAUGCAAAUCAAAAACACAUGAUUAAAUCAUGAUCAUUAAAAAGUCAGGAAACAACAGAUGCUGGAAAGGAUGUGGAGAAAAUAGGAAUGCUUUUACACUGUUGGUGGGAGUGUAAAUUAGUUCAUCUAUUGUGGAAGACCGUGUGGCGAUUCCUCAAGGAUCUAGAACCAGAAAUACCAUUUGACCCAGCAAUCCCAUUAGUGGGUAUAUACUCAAAGGAUUAUAAAUCAUUCUACUCUAAAGACAUAUGCACAUGUAUGUUUACUGCAGCACUAUUCACAAUAGCAAAGACUUGGAACCAACCCAAAUGCCUAUCAAUGAUAGACUGGAUAAAGAAAAUGUGGCACAUAUACACUAUGGAAUACUAUGCAGCCAUAAAAAAGGAUGUUUGGCCAGGCGUGGUGGCUCACACCUGUAAUCUCAGCACUUUGGGAGGCUGAGGCGGGUGGAUCUCCUGAGGUUAGAAGUUUGAGACCAGCCUGGCUAACAUGGCGAAACCCCGUCUCUACUAAAAAUACAAAAAUCAGCCGGGUGUGGUGGUGUGCACCUGUAGUCCCAGCUACUCUGGAGGCUGAGGCAGAAGAAUCGCUUGAUUCCAGGAGGCGAAGGUUGCAGUGAGCCAAGAACACGCCAUUGCACUCCAACCUGGGCAACAAGAGUGAAACUCCAUCUCAAAAAAAAAAAAAAAAAAAAAAAAGAAGGAUGAGUUCAUGCCCUUUGCAGGGACAUGGAUGAAGCUGGAAACCAUCAUUCUCAGCAAACUAACACAGAAACAGAAAACCAAACACCGCAUGUUCUUGCUCAUAAGUGGGAGGUGAACAAUGAGAACACAUGGACACAGGGAGGGGAAUAUCAUACACCGGAGCCUGUAGGGGGUUAGGGGAGGGAUAGCAUUAGGAGAAAUACCUCAGGUAGAUGACAGGUUGAUGGAUGCAGCAAACCACCAUGGCACAUGUAUACCUAUGUAACAAACCUGCACGUUCUUCUUGCACAUGUAUCCCAGAACUUAAAGUACAAUUAAAAUAUAUAUGUAUAUGGCACUCUACCUUGAAAAAGAAAAUUGCUUAUGGAAGUGGUUACUGCAAGGCCUACAGCCUGUAAGUUAUGAAGCAGCAGAAGGAUGAUCUGAAAUAAGACGUAACAAUGUAACACCAGAUAUGAAUGGAUGGAGCUCAUAAUACACUGGUGAACUAAGGUGGAGGGUAGAUGUUUGAAGUAUGUAUCCUAAUACACAAAAUUCACUGAUAUGCUCA
rnacentral:lncRNA from 1 species